rnacentral:rRNA from 1 species
AUGGAGUAUCAGCCAAUCAUCUCUGCACUGGACGUCCGCACCGAGCCCAUCACCGUCGACGCGCUCUUCUCGAUGGUGGCAAACUUCGAUCAACGCGCUGAGAUGUUCAACGGUGCUGGUGGCUUCAAUUCAUCGGCGAACGCUGCCUCCAGGGGUCGCUCAGGUGCCGGCAGAGGCGGCUACCGCAACAAGAAGCAAGGUGGUCGCGGCGGCGGGUACUCUGGAGGUGGUGGCCAAAACCCUAGCGGCUAUCCUGGCUCAGGCAGCGGCGGCUACAACCAUGGCGGCGGUGGCUACAACAACCACGGCGGCGACGGCGGCUACAACAACCACGGCAACGGCAGUGGCCAAGGCAGUGGCCACCAUGGCGGCGGCGAGGGGGAAGGGCUACUACAACAACAACGGCCCUUCGCACCACUACUACAACAACAAUCAAGGUGGCUGCUUCGCCGGGUAUGA